rfam:Clostridium sp. CAG:253 genomic scaffold, scf95
CAGUCGUCUAUCUGAGUAGGGCUUAUAAAAUGAAUAUGGGAGUCAAUUCCGCCUGCUGUUACGAUAAGAUUUUCUCCGGCGAGAGCUUCUGUUGAUGCACCUAUAGUCAUUCCGGGUGUUACAUCAGUCAUAAUAUCGGGGUUGCCGGCUUUUCCUAUACCUGCGAUUCUGCCGUUUUUAAUUCCGAUGUCUGCUUUAAUGAUACCGGUGUAAUCCAAUAUCAGGGCAUUUGUGAUAACGAGGUCGAGAUCACCGUCAGAACUUGUUGUGCGGACAGACUGCCCCAUUCCGUCACGGAUUG